CGUCCCACCUCCUGGUACUUACCUAUGUCGAGCACGCCUCCGCCGCGACCUCCCAACGACGCCUACAAGUCCUGCUCCUCUGCCUCCUCAGCCCCUCGGCUUCGCCGGUUUGGUGGUAGGCUCGGCUGCCCUGGCACUACUUCGACUACCUCGCCGUCUCCAUCUACCACGGCCUCGGCUACAACCACGACUGCACGCCCGAUUCAGAUUUGGACCAGCACUCUCCAGAGAACAAUUUUGACAGCAACUCCAAUUUUUGGAUUUCCAAAGAUACAAUGGCGUGCUCUUGACGAGAUCAAUUCUGGUGUGUGUGAUGGGAUGACAUAUGAAGAGAUAAAGAAAAUUAUGCCUGAGGAAUAUGAGUCACGCAAAAAGGACAAGCUGAGAUAUCGCUACCCCCGUGGGGAAUCUUACCUUGAUGUGAUUCAGAGGUUGGAACCUGUCAUCAUCGAGCUGGAGCGCCAGCGAGCACCAGUGGUUGUUAUAUCCCACCAGGCCGUACUGCGAGCGUUGUACUCGUAUUUUGCCGACAGGCCUUUGAGGGAAGUUCCAGACAUGGAGAUGCCACUCCAUACCAUAAUCUUUCUGCUGACAACAGUAAUAGAUUCGAAGUUCAUUAUCAUUUUCUAUAAUUCUUAAAAUGUGAUAGAAAUUGUUUGACAUAGAUGCCAUAUUUGGAUGAGCGGUCUCCAUUAGAGAUGGACUAUGCAGAUUCCUUAUCUGGAAUUGUGGAAGCUCUAACUUACACCAUUCCGUGCAUUCCUAUUGAUGCAUCAAAGUGAAUUUUACCUGCAGGUUCAGCCUGUGCUUCAUCAGGUUCAUCUUGAUCAUCCGGUGGACUCAUGUUUAGAUCAGGUACAUCUGCCUCUUUCGCUGAACUACUCUAUUUGUUCUCGGUCUCUAUUUAUGAACUGAUCAUGUACACUGGGACUAAACUGCUAUGUGCAUGAGAUGGAGCCGGCGCUUUGUGUGGAGGGCAGCGGUAGGCUAGGUCGGCGGAGGAGCUUGGGUGCUCCAAAGGCAUGGUCCACGAGGAAUAGGCGAUGAAGGGCGAUCUUUACAUUGGCCGCAUCGAGGAGGCCAUGUCCCUGAAACGGAGCGGCGGUGCCUCAUCCACUGCUUCCUCAAGCACAAGAACAACUCAUCCGCUGCUUCCUCAACCAGAAGAACAACUCCAUCAGAGUUGUGGACAGCGUUGCCAAAACGGCCACAUCUAACUAGUAAUCUAUGUGACAACACAUGCCGUGUAAAGUGAGAAUGCCGUUUAGUUGUGUAAAAUGUGAGUUCAUUUUAGUUCUGUAAGUUAGUUAGCUACAAUCUACUUAACUUAUGUAAGCAAUUUUAAUGCAUGAUCAUGUUGCCAUGUUGGAUUAAAACCUCA